GACGUAGGGCGCGAGCGUUGUCCGGAUUUAUUGGGCGUAAAGAGCUCGUAGGCGGCUUGUCGCGUCGACUGUGAAAACCCGGGGCUCAACUCCGGGCCUGCAGUCGAUACGGGCUGGCUUGAGUGCGGUAGGGGAGACUGGAAUUCCUAGUGUAGCGGUGAAAUGCGCAGAUAUCAGGAGGAACACCGGUGGCGAAGGCGGGUCUCUGGGCCGUAACUGACGCUGAGGAGCGAAAGCGUGGGGAGCGAACAGG
rnacentral:rRNA from 1 species